rnacentral:tRNA from 1 species
GGAUACACCUGGCUCAAAAAACGAAAUAUUAUCUGACAUCGUGAAUCGGGCGGUCUCGCCACGAAAGUGGUCCCUUCGGGAAAAACCGUUGUACCUGUUUGGGUACCGUGGGUUCGAAUCCCACCCUCUCCG